rnacentral:rRNA from 1 species
UACGAAGGGUGCAAGCGUUACUCGGAAUUACUGGGCGUAAAGCGUGCGUAGGUGGUUUGUUAAGUCUGAUGUGAAAGCCCUGGGCUCAACCUGGGAAUUGCAUUGGAUACUGGCAGGCUAGAGUGCGGUAGAGGGUAGUGGAAUUCCCGGUGUAGCAGUGAAAUGCGUAGAUAUCUGGAGGAACACCGGUGGCGAAGGCGGCAUCCUGGACCGGUAUUGACGCUGAGGCGCGAAAGCCAGGGGAGCAAACGGG